rnacentral:rRNA from 1 species
UACGGAGGAUCCGAGCGUUAUCCGGAUUUAUUGGGUUUAAAGGGAGCGUAGGCGGGUUGUUAAGUCAGUUGUGAAAGUUUGCGGCUCAACCGUAAAAUUGCAGUUGAUACUGGCAUCCUUGAGUACAGUAGAGGUAGGCGGAAUUCGUGGUGUAGCGGUGAAAUGCUUAGAUAUCACGAAGAACUCCGAUUGCGAAGGCAGCCUGCUGGACUGUAACUGACGCUGAGGCUCGAAAGCGUGGGGAGCAAACAGG